UACGAAGGGGACUAGCGUUGCUCGGAAUCACUGGGCGUAAAGGGUGCGUAGGCGGGCCUUCAAGUUGGGGGUGAAAUCCUGGAGCUCAACUCCAGAACUGCCUUCGAUACUGGCGAUCUAGAGUCCGGGAGAGGUGAGUGGAACUGCGAGUGUAGAGGUGAAAUUCGUAGAUAUUCGCAAGAACACCAGUGGCGAAGGCGGCUCACUGGCCCGGUACUGACGCUGAGGUGCGAAAGCGUGGGGAGCAAACAGG
rnacentral:rRNA from 1 species